rnacentral:lncRNA from 1 species
AGAACUCCAUGAGCCAAUCUUCAAAUCUGACAGGGAUGGCGCCCAUGGAAUGAGGGGCCAUGUGCAGGCACAUUUACCCGGAAGAUCUGUGGCUCACGUGUGUUCGUAUUUUCAACUCAGGAGCCCGGUUUUCAGCUUCUCAGGUCUAAGCUUCCUGUAUGCUGGGAACUAGACUAUACUGCCUGUUGCCUGCAAUGAUAAAACGAAGAAAUAUUGUUCUGGGUUCUUAAAUGAAAACGCACUUUAUUGAGACUUGACUCAAGAAUUACAGAUAAAGAGAUGAAAAGAAAUACCUCCUGCCUCAGCCAUGAAGCCUUCACUGUAGAAACAACACAUGUGCUGACUGUCCCCUGGAACGGCCUCUCUCUUCAGGCCAACACAGUCCACUUUGGUUCUGCCAACCUGCUGACCAACCCCAACAGAUGGAAGGAAGGAAGAGAAAGCCGAGGUGCAGAUGACAUGGCUUAUGCAAUAUUUUUAUUGUGCCAGUAUUCAAAUGUAUUACAUUGAUUUGUUCUGACUGACAAUAAUGUGGAUGCUUUGAUAUCAGUGCGUUGGGUAUUAUCUUCAUUUUACAAAAGAGAAAAACAGACACUCAGACUAACCAAGUGACCUGGCCAAGGUCCCACUGUCACUCUUGACUAUGAAGUCAAAAUCCUUUACAGGGUUUAUCAGUCAGUGCCCUAGCAGGACACAGACAGCGUACUGAAAUUAGGAUAAUGUCAGGAGGGACUACUUAAAAUGGUGUGGAGAGUGUAGACGAACCACAAGGUAAAAUUCCUGUCCUUCUUAAGACUGGUGAGAGUGGAGCAGUUGCCACCAAUAGGCUGAUGAAAUAAGGGCAGAAAUGAUUACUCUGCGGGCUCCUAACCUUUUGUCACUCUGAUGAACUCCAAAGACCCUAUCUCAAGGGAAUGUCUUUAAAUGAAUUUAAUAAAAUACUAAUUACAGGGGGAGGAGCCAAGAUGGCCGAAUAGGAACAGCUCCGGUCU